rnacentral:snRNA from 2 species
GUGCUGGCUUCAGCAACACAUAUAUUAAAAUUGGAACGAUAUAGAGGAGAUUAGCAUGGCCGUUAAAUAAAAAAUUUUAAAAAAACAUUGAAUUGUAUUUUAUCUUU